AGGUAUAUAUAAAUGUGUUUGUAGGUAUAUAUAAAUGUGUUUGCAGGAAUAUAUAAAUAUGUUUGCAGGUAUAUAUAAAUGUGUUUGUAGGUAUAUAUAGAUGUGUUUGCAGGUAUAUAUAAAUGUGUUUGCAGGUAUAUAUAUAAAUGUGUUUGUCUCCUCGAGGAUCCAAGAGGCACAUCCACGGGACCACUCCCAUCCGGGGGAAAAAAGGUGUGAUUAGGAAUUCCCUGCACGACAAUCAUCUCAUUUGAUGUUUUUUCCCCCAAUUCGACACAUAGAAAUGUUUUGGGGGGGAACAUGUGUUGGCUUCUUUGCGUCAGUGUGGCGGUUGUGCUGAAGACAAACGGCCGCUAAAGACUGCGGCCUUACGGCGUCACUCCUGCGGCGCAGCGCACAUGCAAGCAGCGCACAAACAUGCAAGGCCUCCCUCGCUCAUGCCUCCAAAAGACUAGCAAAUAACUGCCGGGAUCGCAAUAAUGUGACAGAAGAAACGGAUGACGUAGACAAAUGUUGUUUGUAGAGGAAACGACUCAUUCUUGGCGCAAAAUAUGCGGCUUUUUUUUUUUAAUUCCUAUUUUGUGUGCCGCCGGUGUGAAGAAGCACUUUGAAGGCGUCUUAAGUCCAAACAUCCUUUUCUCACGUCCAGACACAUACAUGUCCUUUUUUUCAUCACAUCUUCCAUUGAAAUGUGUGCGCACGCAAGCAGGGACGUGCGCGUGGGCGCGUGGAAGGCACGCGACUUGAAGGCUUUUUUGGGGGGGGGGGGCAUUGACGUGACCGUCCACCUCCUCCCAGAAAUAAAUAAAUACAACAUCUGCAAGCGCGUGACGCGCUAAAUAGGCAUGUGUGUGUGCGUGUGUGUGUGUGUGUGUGUGUGUGUGUGUGUGUGUGUGUGUGUGUGUGUGUGUGUGUGUGCGUGUGUGUGUGUGUGUGUGUGUGUGUGUGUGUGUGUGUGUGUGUGUGCGUGAUAUGCGCAAAGGGCACAUCCAAACAGCCAAGCUGCCAAGGAGAAGAAGAACAAUGCGUGGAUAUUCGACACCUGGCGUUGGAGUCAUCGAUAAUUCAUCCUCCGAAGUUGGCGCCAUCCUGGAAGUAUGCCGGCUUCGACCAAACCGGGCCCAGAGGUUCAGGACAAAGGAAUUAGCCACCACCUGCUGGACAACAUUUCUUCAUAUCCUCCUUCAUCCAGGAGCCGUGGGCUUGUGUCUCUUCACAAAGCUGGAGGCCA